ACCGCGUAUUAAAUUUAAAAAACAGUCCUAUCCUUGCCUCUAUAGUAUAGUCUAAUCCAAUUAUUUUAUCAGUUAAUUUUUCAGAAUUGCGCUGUUGAAUUUAUUGUUAAAUAUUAUAUUUUAACUGUCGUCCACAGUAAUUGUAACAUUUUGACCGUAUUUGUUUAACGUCGAAUUAUUUAACGGAGUUGAAGAACAACAGUAUACAGAUGUAAUUGUAGUGUAUUACGCCGUCAAUAUGUAUAAGGUAAGUUUCAUUAUUGUUUAUUAAUUAUUUCAUAAUUAUUGUUUUUAAUUAAGUACAA